ensembl:ncRNA lncRNA:CR45279 long non-coding RNA:CR45279
AAAAACAAACCAAACAAUAUCGGCCCCACACACUUGUUAACGGUAUUAUGUAUAUUAUUUUACGGCCCCGAUAAUUUUUUUGGCAAUGCGACUUCUGCGGGCGCGUCGAAUUCGCUCGGAAUAUUCAAAACAAAUGGCACAAGUAGUCGACGGACGAACGGAGAAGAAAAGGCGACGAAUGUGCGUGGAAGACGACGGUGAUAAACGAGAGAACGCGACUUCAGCUGCGGCAGAGCAUGCAGUGUGACUGUGCGAACGAAAUACCAGCGCACUAGGAUCCCCAAAAACCCGAUGCGUGGAAAACUUUACUAGCGAUAGCAGUGUUCCAAACCUUUUCACCAAGCCAAUCUUAUUUUAAAACUUUAUCAAAACAUUUGAACGAAGCUAUAUGGAAGUUCAAAAAAAAAAUGGAAGUAUUCAGUUUCUUUUUGGAACGCAUCAUACAAAAUUUUUUCUCCUGUACCUAUUACCUAUACCACUUGCCUACACUUUUAUUUCAUUUCUACAAGCACUCAAAUAUGAAGUUCUUUCUUUAAGGAACGUUUGAUCUUUUCUACAUAUUACUACAUUUACAUAUGAAUGAAAGACAAUAAAAUGUUAUUGUAUUCUGAGAAACACACUUCUCUUAUUUUC